GGAGGGUGCCUUUUGGGUACUGCAACAGCUAAAGCUCCGGAACGAGCAGCCCUCAAUAACAACAUAUGGAUUAGUCAUGGAGGUUAUGUUCGAAUGUGGCAAAUACAAUUUGGUUCAUGACUUUUUCAAGAAAAUGCAGAAGUCAUGUGUUCCCAAUGCUUUGACCUAUAAAGUUAUUGUGAGUACUCUUUGGAAGGAAGGGAAAACAGACGAGGCCUUACUGGCAGUAGAAG
rnacentral:misc_RNA from 1 species